rnacentral:rRNA from 1 species
AUCCGGAGGGGGCUAGCGUUGUUCGGAAUUACUGGGCGUAAAGCGCACGUAGGCGGCGCACGCAGUCAGAGGUGAAAGGCCUGGGCUCAACCCAGGAACUGCCUUUGAUACUGGUGUGCUAGAGUCCGGGAGAGGGUAGCGGAAUUCCCAGUGUAGAGGUGAAAUUCGUAGAUAUUGGGAAGAACACCGGUUGCGAAGGCGGCUACCUGGACCGGUACUGACGCUGAGGUGCGAAAGCGUGGGGAGCAAACAGGAUUAGAAACCCCAGUAGUCC